rnacentral:rRNA from 1 species
CCUACGGGAGGCAGCAGUGAGGAAUAUUGGUCAAUGGGCGCGAGCCUGAACCAGCCAAGUAGCGUGAAGGAUGACUGCCCUACGGGUUGUAAACUUCUUUUAUAAAGGAAUAAAGUGAGGCACGUGUGCCUUUUUGUAUGUACUUUAUGAAUAAGGAUCGGCUAACUCCGUGCCAUCAGCCGCGGUAAUACGGAGGAUCCGAGCGUUAUCCGGAUUUAUUGGGUUUAAAGGGAGCGUAGAUGGGUUGUUAAGUCAGUUGUGAAAGUUUGCGGCUCAACCGUAAAAUUGCAAUUGAUACUGGCAGUCUUGAGUACAGGUGAGGUAGGCGGAAUUCGUGGUGUAGCGGUGAAAUGCUUAGAUAUCACGAAGAACUCCGAUUGCGAAGGCAGCUUACUAAACUGCCACUGACAUUGAUGCUCGAAAGUGUGGGUAUCAAACAGGAUUAGAUACCCCUGUAGUC